UUUUCCCUCUUUUCUCCAUCCAUUUAUGCUAUUCACACUUUCCAUCUCCUUAAUCAAUGGAGAGGCUCAAAAGUCUCUCUGAAAUUUUACCCCAAUCUUUAGAUUCUUACUCCUCACCAAACUCUAACUUCUUAACAAGAAUUGAACGACCAAAUCCAAACCCUAGUGUCCGACUCAAUCGAUCCAUCAAACCGCAAAAUGACCGAUGAUACGGCUAACGGGAUCAAUUCGGCGGCGAAGAAAAGACGGCGAGCCGUAGAAAUCGCCGUCUUCGUAUAAUGGAGUUGCUACUGCCGGAAAUCCCUCCCUCUCUUUUCAAUUUUUUGCUCAACAGAUCCCUAAAUUUCAUUCUCACUCUUCAAUUUCCAUUAUGGAGCUGGUGUUGCCGGACAUAACAACCCUAUAUCUAUUACUCUUUUUCCAACCUACUAACAAAAUAUUUGAAGUUAUAAAGGAUGUGACAACAAUCCCAACAGCCAGUACUUGCAAAAAGGGAAGCAUCGAAGGAAGGAGUUGAGGAGAUUGUGAAUGAUCAUGGCCUAGUUCAGCAUUGCUGCUACUUAUGUUGCUCUUUACUUCUACCUAGCCUUGAGCAUUGUAAAAAAAUUUAAUAUUUUUUGUUUGAUGAAAUUGUAACAGUACACCACAAGCAUUUAUUAAUAAAAAUACCUAAGUUUAUAUAUAAUGGAUUUUUUAUUGAUUAUUAUUUUUUUAGGCAUAAAGGGCACCGAAUUAAGGGGAAAACUAGUGCCCUUAAAGACCCUUGAAUUGGUGUCCUUAACCUCUGUCAUGUGCAAC